CUACGGGGGGCACCAGUGGGGAAUAUUGGACAAUGGGGGAAGCCCUGAUCCAGCAAUGCCGCGUGUGUGAAGAAGGCCUGCGGGUUGUAAAGCACUUUCGGUUGGGAGGACUGCUUCUAGCACUAAUAUUGUUGGAAGUUGACGUUACCUUCAGAAGAAGCACCGGCUAACUCAGUGCCAGCAGCCGCGGUAAUACUGAGGGUGCAAGCGUUAAUCGGAAUUACUGGGCGUAAAGCGCGCGUAGGCGGCUAGAUCAGUCGGGUGUGAAAGCCCCGGGCUUAACCUGGGAACUGCAUCCGAUACUGUCUAGCUUGAGUACAGGAGAGGAGAGUGGAAUUCCACAUGUAGCGGUGAAAUGCGUAGAUAUGUGGAGGAACACCAAUGGCGAAGGCAGCUCUCUGGCCUGAUACUGACGCUGAGGUGCGAAAGCGUGGGGAGCAAACAGGAUUAGAUACCCGCGUAGUC
rnacentral:rRNA from 1 species